AGUAUACCAUGUAUGACCCGGUUGAAGUAACAAGUUUUGUCGUGUUGCGGGUGUGGAGCCGAGUUCAGUGCAGGAGGUUUUUUUUUUUUUUUUUGUCUUGGGCUAAGCCCAUGAAACCUACCCGAACCCCAAUACCCAACCCACCCGAACCAGAACCCGAUUCCCUAUCGUAACCCAGAGGUUCUUGUAACGAACUCAAGCUCUCCCAUGGCUGCCGAGAGAUAGGCUUCGCUGCCAUCACUGCCUCCACCCGCGGCGCGCCGUUACCCGCGUUGACGCCGUUAAACGGCUUGGCUUGAAUGUGAUGGGCCGAGGGGUGUGGGCCUUCUGAGGCUAUGAUUAUUGUAACCCUAUACAUCUUAUUGGGCGUCUCUUUGUUGGGCAUGUAGGUGGGAUGAUCUGCACUGAUGACCUUUACUCUCUUUUGAAGUUGAGAAAGUCCCGCAGCCGAGGUCUGGGUCAGAUGUCAAUUUUGUUUGCCUCCCAUAGAGCUGUACCGGGCUUAAAUUCUCUUGGAGGAAUAUUGAACGAUUUGUGUGUAUUCCCAUAUAGUAUGUGUGAGUGGUUUGUGUACUCCCAUGUACUCCUAUGUUCAAAUCCUCUUAGAAUUUGAGACUGUCCAAUUCACUUGACAAAAAAAAAAAAACCUCUCUC